UUCUCAUGCAAUAACUGAAUUGUUUGGCC
rnacentral:sRNA from 1 species